UACGUAGGGGGCAAGCGUUGUCCGGAUUUAUUGGGCGUAAAGGGCGCGUAGGCGGCUUCUCAAGCGUGUGGUGAAAGUCCGGGGCUCAACCCCGGAUCGGCCGUGCGGACUGGGGAGCUCGAGUUCUGUAAAGGCGGGUGGAAUUCCGGGUGUAGCGGUGAAAUGCGCAGAUAUCAGGAGGAACACCAAUGGCGAAGGCAGCUCGCUGGGACGUGACUGACGCUGAGACGCGAAAGCGUGGGGAGCAAACAGG
rnacentral:rRNA from 1 species